AGAGAGGAGAGUGGUACAGAAAGGUGGGAAGAUGAAGAUGGAGAAGGAAUGAUGUGAAGCGUCACAGCUCUUGCUGCUACCUUAGGAGAGACCAUGUCACCUGAAAAGAUGCCAAAACAAGAGAGCAGCAAGGAGAGGCUGGCUGCAGAUUUAGACCCCCAUCGGUUCCCUGUUGAUCCAAGCAGCUCAGUGGCAGGAGAUGCAGAGUGGAACUCUGCUGCCAGGGCAGAGCAAAGCCAGGGCUAUAACCUGUCACCUCUGGCAGGCCUCAUGAUACCCUGAGGCAUGCAGCAGGGAAAAGAGGGGUUAAAUCGAGAUGGUAUCAGGUAGGGGAAUCUUUACCUCUGGAAGAAAGAAAUCUGACACGCAUUUUAUGCAUCUACACAUCUGUAAUAUUUAAAUUAUGUCAAUCACUUCCAUUUUGUAAUGAAUAAGCAUUUGUGAAACUGUACCACACUCUGAUUUUAUCCUCUGGCAUUAGUUGAAUAAUUUUCUAGUUUAAUCUACUUUCAUAAAAUAGAAGACAUAAGUUAUUUGCAUUUUAGAGCAAAAGAAAAAGCAACAAAAAGAAGUUGAGGUUUUAAAGCUUUUCUUCAUAAAAAGCCACAUGCCACAUUGCUGCAUGACUAGUAGGACUUACUGAAAGAAGAAAUAACUAGAUUAAAUUGUGUUUUAGACAAAUACAAUAUUCAGUCUUUUUUAUUACUUAGAAAAAAAUUACAUGCAUUUGCUAUCAUCUAGAGAUGUCUGUUCUUUCACACAAAAGACAGAAAAGACUCUUUCAGGCAAAAGAAAAUACUCAAACUCUGCAUCCACGCCUAUCCUGGUUUCAGCUGGGAUAGAGUUAGUUUUCUUCCUAAUAGCUGGUACGGUGCUAUGUUUUAGGUUUAAUAUUAGAAUAAUAUUGAUAACACACUGAUGUUUUGGUUGUUGCUCAGCAGUGCUUGCCCCAAGUCAAGGGCUUUCAGUGUCCAUGCUCUGCCAGUGAGGAGGCGCACAAGAAGCUGUGAGGGAGCAUAGCUGGGACAGCUGACCUGACCUGUCCAAAGGGAUAUUCCAUACCACAGAACGUCAUGCCCAGUAUAUAAAUCGGGGGAGUUGGCUGGGAGGGGCCAAUUGCUGCCAGGGGACAGGGUCUGACAUUGAUCAGAGUGGUGAGCAAUUGUACUGUAGACUUAUCUUGGGUUUUAUUUCUCUCUCUCUUUUUGUUGUCUCCCUUUUCAUUACAAUUACUAUUAUAACAUUGUUAUAUUUUAUUUUAUUUAAAUUAUGGAACUGUUUUUAUCCCAAGCCACGGACUUUACCUUUUUCCCAUUGUCCUCCUCAUCCCACUUGGGGGAGAGGGGGUGGGGGUGUCAGUGGCUGCAUGGUACUUAGUUGCUGGCUGGGGUUAAACUGUAACAGUUCUUUUUGGCAUGUGAUGUGGGGCCCAACGGGUUGAGAUAAUAACAAAUCAGACAAGAACACAUUAGAACAAAUAUAAGCAUUAUUAAUUUAAUAGCUGCUAGUUGUACUGUUGAUUUAUUUGCUCUCAAAGUUAGUGUGCUUGUUCUUAAAGUUAUGUUAUGUGAUGCCUUACUUGCAGUCUGUGUGUCCCCCUUUGUGCUGUUUAUCACCCGUGGGAACUGGGCCAAGGUUAUGAUUUUAAUGUAACUCUUUUUUUAAUGGAACUCUGUCUUAUGAUAUGAUGGAAUGGCUGGACUUGAAACUCAUCUGGUGUUUUUACUCAGCACUGCCAUCAGCUCUGGACUUUGUGAGCCAUCUGUUGGAAACUAUUAAUAAUUAUGCCUUUACCUUUUCUCCUCAGAGACCCAAUCCAUGAAGCAGAUACCUUUUGAGAAUUCUGAAUAUCCUUGGGCUGUUCAAACCAGCAUGUUCCUAUUGCUAUGUCUCCUGCAUGUGUUCCAGGGCUGGUCUAAGGUUAAACAGCUACUUAAGAAUCCCACCCAGAGAUUUGCUCUGGGGCUGGAUAUUUCUGAGUGGGAGGGUGUGUGGAAUAGCAUGGGCAAGUACCUAGGACAGUGGGCAUCUCCAGCAUAUUGGAACAUCACCCUUGAAGAAGUGCAGAAUCUGGAAAAGCUAGUAAAACAUCUGGAAAAAGUAUGCUGUCACCCUGUCUAUUCCAGAGAGGCACAAAGGAUUGCAACAUGCUGGGGCCUGGCCCAGGCCUCCCAGGCAUGAGAAAGCAGCUGCAUGGUACUUAGACACCAGCUGAGGCUAAAUCACAACUUCAUCACUUGAAAUUAGAGAAUAACAUUACAAAAAACACUAACAAGUCUUCCCUUGAAAUCUUCACAUCAUGAUGAAUACAUGCACUUUAUCUGGAACAAACUGAAUCUCAUAAGCUCUUUCAGACCUGCUGUCACCUGGACACAUCUGCAAUGGUUGAAGCAUGCGAAAAGAAAAAGCAACUCUUUACUUAGUGGCAGGCACAAGCUAAAACAGUACAUGAACCCUUAGUUUUGGGUGGCAUUAGCAGAACAGGACUUUAAUAUUCAGCUGCCACUCGUGGCUCAGGGAAAGAAGUGUGUGAAUGUCACCUAAGAGGCAGCAAGGUCUCCCUCAGGCUCUCUCUACGAAGAACAGACAGCACAAGCAAGAACUAGAGAUACAGUAAACUGAAUUCACCAGCCCAAGAUGCAGAAAAGAUCCUUCUUUACUGUCAGAAAAGGUCAGCUGCAGAGUAAAAGCUCUGCUGCCAUGCUAGCCUUGAUGGGCUUUCCUACUUGCUGGUUUGGGAUCAGAAGUUCAAACUGAUUUUUCUCCAGCUGACUUUGGCUCAGAACUGGCAUUCUUAAAUAACACCCUACUGACAGCAUAAAAAUAGAGUAUUACAAAAGUCAUUAUGACUUUCCUCUUGCGCCUAACAUUUUUGGUCAAAGUAAAAAACCUGAAAUUUAACAUUUUACUGACAGAUUAUCAUACAGCACCUUUUUUGAGAUCCCUAAACUAAUCUCAAGUGAGCUCUAAUGUUCAUAUGGCUCUGUGCAAUUUAGCUCAGAGUCAAGCAGCAUGACAAUUACAUUCAUAAAAAGAAAUACCCCAAAGAGAUAAGUUAAUUAACAGUUAAUUACGCCAGUGUGAUGUGUGCUAAGGUGAUUCUAUAAUUUCCAUUCCCAGAGACUCAUCAUUUUAAAACUGCAGAUAUGUCAGUAACAGUUACAGAUGGCCUCCCAAAGCCAACCUGCACAGGAGUGCUCUGCUCUGCCACUCUGCUAAGGAGAAUGAAAUAAGCAGCCACUGCCAUCACACAACUAGUAAAAUUAUUUUGCCUAAUGAUCUUGCAAGACAAUCUAGGCAGUGUCAACAGCUGCAGAAAUGUCUUAGCAUAUCUCGCAGAAACAUAAAUGCUCCAUUUUAUAAGCCUCUUACAUCCUCUCCUCUCUCAGUAUCACCCACUUCAGUUUAAUCUCAUUACACAUCAUAAAGCACAUCAUA